AAGUAAAAGAAAAGUAUACAGAAAUAAAGAUAAAAGUCAAGAGGCAAAAAUUAGACAGGAUAAUGUAUGAAAUGGUGGCUAGCAAUAAGUCAAGCUUAGGGCUGGUAUUCAUACAUAGUAACACAACAUGUUAUUUAUUUCAGAGUAAAGAGUAAAAACAACAAGUAGCUACACUUAGAUGCAUCUACUUCAUUGAUGGAUUCAUGAUCCCAAGAUGACAUAGACCAGGAUGAUGGAAUGGACAACCCCCAGGAUCAUUCUCUGAGGAUUUGAAACAGGAUCUUCUAAAGAUGCUUUCACCCCCAGACAGCAGGACAUAAUUUUAGGAACGUGAUGCUCACAUUACCAAGAUGUGUGGUGGGUGGCUUUUGGUCUUUCAUUGGAUUAUGAAUAUUUGUCAAUUUUUAGGGGUGGUGGUUACAAGUUACUCUUGGAUAUCAGGAAGAAAUUCGAAAAAAGGUGAUUAGAUUCAAGGUUCUUGUUUGAAAAGAUAAAAGUGUGAUAUAGAUAUGAUAGGAUAAAAUGGUUCAUUACUGUAUUUUCUUCAAAAAAGAGGAGGCACAGGUAUGAUGAGACAAAAAGCAGAGUAUUGAAUCUACUUUAAAAAGCAGCUAUUGUUUUAAAUAUUUUACAUUGGAUUAGAUUUUUGCAUACUGUAUACAAAUGUUGUGUAUUGAUACACAUUUGAGGUUUAUUUUGCUAAAACUUACUGCAUAUAAGUUUCUAAUAUUGUAUUAUAUCUACAUAGCUCAUUUAAUACUAUAACACAAAUUUCUAGUUCUUGAGAGGUAUUAUUAGCAACUAUUUAACAUAAUAAGGAAUUGCAGGUUAGUAAUUAGUCACCUAUUACAAUUGAAUUGUAACCCUAUAUAGUAUGUUAUCGAAGUUAAACAGAGAUAUAAUUUUGAAAAGCAGGUCAUCUUCAAAUACUUCAGAGCUAUACAGAAUAUGGCAUUUAAGGAUUUUUAUUAAUUUUAUUUAAAUUAAAAACAAUCAUAUUUUA